CAGUUAAUAGUUUAUUAAAAAUUUAAUUUUUGGGAAAUUAUGAUGUGUUAACCAACACUUUACUGA
rnacentral:tRNA from 1 species